rnacentral:rRNA from 1 species
UUUCGGGAUCUUGAGAGCGGCGUACGGGUGCGGAACACGUGUGCAACCUGCCUUUAUCUGGGGGAUAGCCUUUCGAAAGGAAGAUUAAUACCCCAUAAUAUACUGAAUGGCAUCAUUCGGUAUUGAAAACUCCGGUGGAUAGAGAUGGGCACGCGCAAGAUUAGAUAGUUGGUGAGGUAACGGCUCACCAAGUCUACGAUCUUUAGGGGGCCUGAGAGGGUGAUCCCCCACACUGGUACUGAGACACGGACCAGACUCCUACGGGAGGCAGCAGUGAGGAAUAUUGGACAAUGGGUGAGAGCCUGAUCCAGCCAUCCCGCGUGAAGGACGACGGCCCUAUGGGUUGUAAACUUCUUUUGUAUAGGGAUAAACCUACCCUCGUGAGGGUAGCUGAAGGUACUAUACGAAUAAGCACCGGCUAACUCCGUGCCAGCAGCCGCGGUAAUACGGAGGGUGCAAGCGUUAUCCGGAUUUAUUGGGUUUAAAGGGUCCGUAGGCGGAUCUGUAAGUCAGUGGUGAAAUCUCACAGCUUAACUGUGAAACUGCCAUUGAUACUGCAGGUCUUGAGUGUUGUUGAAGUAGCUGGAAUAAGUAGUGUAGCGGUGAAAUGCAUAGAUAUUACUUAGAACACCAAUUGCGAAGGCAGGUUACUAAGCAACAACUGACGCUGAUGGACGAAAGCGUGGGGAGCGAACAGGAUUAGAUACCCUGGUAGUCCACGCCGUAAACGAUGCUAACUCGUUUUUGGAAUGUAAGUUUCAGAGACUAAGCGAAAGUGAUAAGUUAGCCACCUGGGGAGUACGAACGCAAGUUUGAAACUCAAAGGAAUUGACGGGGGCCCGCACAAGCGGUGGAUUAUGUGGUUUAAUUCGAUGAUACGCGAGGAACCUUACCAAGGCUUAAAUGGGAAAUGACAGGUUUAGAAAUAGACUUUUCUUCGGACAUUUUUCAAGGUGCUGCAUGGUUGUCGUCAGCUCGUGCCGUGAGGUGUUAGGUUAAGUCCUGCAACGAGCGCAACCCCUGUCACUAGUUGCCAUCAUUAAGUUGGGGACUCUAGUGAGACUGCCUACGCAAGUAGAGAGGAAGGUGGGGAUGACGUCAAAUCAUCACGGCCCUUACGCCUUGGGCCACACACGUAAUACAAUGGCCGGUACAGAGGGCAGCUACACUGCGAAGUGAUGCAAAUCUCGAAAGCCGGUCUCAGUUCGGAUUGGAGUCUGCAACUCGACUCUAUGAAGCUGGAAUCGCUAGUAAUCGCGCAUCAGCCAUGGCGCGGUGAAUACGUUCCCGGGCCUUGUACACACCGCCCGUCAAGCCAUGGAAGUCUGGGGUACCUGAAGUCGGGACC